CGGGCCUGUGAGCCAGUUGGAGUUGCGGCGGCGGGAACGAUUGGGCUGAGCAGAGGACGACAUGUUGCUUUUCGUGGAGAUGACAAAACCGAGCCCCAGAGGUUAAAGUAACUUUACUUAGUAAAAGUAAAGUAGUUUAACUGGGAUUUAGAUCCAGGUCAUGCUGAUGUCAAAUCAUGGACGGGAUGUUAGCAAUUCAGGCCUGUCCGACUCCCCAGCAUUUAUGGGGUUAAGUGGCAUGGGAUUUCUGUUUCUGAUAGUAAAUAGCAGGUAGCAUCUAAAGGAACUGGUUUAAAUCCUAAUGCCAAAGUAUGGCAAGAAAUUGCUCCUGGAAAUACUGAUGCCACCCCAGUAACUCAUGGAACUGAAAGCUCUUGGCAUGAAAUAGCAGCUACAUCAGGUGCUCAUCCUGAGGUGUCUGUCUUUAAUACAGGUAAUGCAGAGCUCUCAGAAGAUAUAUGUAAAGAAUAUGAAGUAAUGUAUUCUUCAUCUUGUGAAACCACAAGAAAUACUACAGGCAUUGAAGAAUCAACUGAUGGGAUGAUUUUAGGACCAGAAGAUCUGAGUUACCAAAUAUAUGAUGUUUCC
rnacentral:lncRNA from 1 species